rnacentral:rRNA from 1 species
UAAACUUCUUUUAUUAAGGACGAAAAAUGACGGUACUUAAUGAAUAAGCUCCGGCUAACUACGUGCCAGCAGCCGCGGGAAUACGUAGGGAGCAAGCGUUGUCCGGAUUUACUGGGUGUAAAGGGUGCGUAGGCGGCUUUGCAAGUCAGAUGUGAAAUCUAUGGGCUCAACCCAUAAACUGCAUUUGAAACUGUAGAGCUUGAGUGAAGUAGAGGCAGGCGGAAUUCCCCGUGUAGCGGUGAAAUGCGUAGAGAUGGGGAGGAACACCAGUGGCGAAGGCGGCCUGCUGGGCUUUAACUGACGCUGAGGCACGUAAAGCGUGGGUAGCAAACAGGAUUAGAUACCCUGGUAGGCCACGCUGUGAACGAUGAUUACUAGGUGUGGGGGGUCUGACCCCUUCCGUGCCGGAUUGAACACAAUAAGGUAAUCCACCUGGGGAGUGA